rnacentral:lncRNA from 1 species
AAAUUAGUUGAACCUUUUGCAAAGAUAAGAUCAUCAUCUGCAAAAGACAGAUGAGUAAGUUUAAUAAGCCUGAGGCAUUUAAGAAGAAACAUGAAGACUCCACACGUUAUGCCACGGCAAGAAAUUUGGAUAAAACAUGCAUUGAGAUAACAAAAAGGUAGGGAGAUAGUACAUCUCCGUGCCUUAUCCCUCUACCACCCUUAAAAUAGCCAACAGGCCCGCCAUUAAAAGAAAUGGAGUAUCUAAGAGUGGUAAUGCAUGCAGCAAUCCAUUUAACCCAUUUUCUCUGGAAACCCG